rnacentral:rRNA from 1 species
UACGUAGGGGGCUAGCGUUGUCCGGAAUCAUUGGGCGUAAAGCGCGUGUAGGCGGUCCGGUAAGUCCGCUGUGAAAGUCGGGGGGCUCAACCCUCGAAUGCCGGUGGAUACUGUCGGGCUAGAGUGCGGAAGAGGCGAGUGGAAUUCCUGGUGUAGCGGUGAAAUGACGCAGAUAUCAGGAGGAACACCGGUGGCGAAGGCGGAUCUCUGGGCCUUACCUGACGCUCAGGCACGAAAGCUAGGGGAGCGAACAGG